UGGUGGAGUGAUUUGUCUGGUUAAUUCCGAUAACGAGCGAGACCUCAACCUACUAAUUAGUUAGACAAAUCUUCGGAUUUGCUUUCUGGCUUCUUAGAGGGACUAUCGGUUUUUAGCCGAUGGAGGUUUGAGGCAAUAACA
rnacentral:rRNA from 1 species